CUGUAGCUAAUUAAGCCGACCAGGUUCUUUUCCUCAUGGGGCCUGGUGUGCAGUGGCUGCAAACAGCAGCCUCCUUGGUAGUGUACGCAGCCUGUUGCUUAUAAGGGUUGCUCUAAAGGACCUUGGAGAUAGUC